UACACAUGGACCACAUGUAAGACUAGUCAGUUUCUCAUUUUCCUUUAAAGAAUCCUAAGUUGAAGGAGUAGCUUAUAGUCUGAACUCUGAAUUCAUCAAAAGCAAACCCCAAAAUCUCUUAUUCAUUCCUAUUCUUUCUUCCUAUUCUUCUGCUAUGCUGAAUCUUGCUCUCCGCCACACUCUUUCUCCCUAUUAUUGCAAGCAACCAAAGUCCAAACACUCCUUUAUUAUCGACGGCUUUGUUGAUGAACUACUGUGAUUUUCUUGAUUAACUUGUGCCGGAACAUUCUGUUUCUCAUGCCGAACCUACAUAACCCGAAGAUGAACUUCCUCCCCUUCCCCCUCUCCCUGCUAGGACAAAAAGACAAGUUAAUCCUAGUGGAACUAGGAAAACUUCAUCGGUUUGGUUAGACUUUAACAUUUUACCGGAUGAACCUAAAUAAAUAGACGCGUGGAAACAUUGCCGCAAGAGAUACCGGUGCAUCUAACCUUUUACAGAAGGUUCCCCAUACAAAGAAACCACACAAAGAAACCUUGUAAGCGGUGAGAGUGGUUUUUUAGUUUCAAUAAGCCAAAGGUUUAAUGCACAAUCAUGUAAGAAGGCUAUUACUUUGUUUUGCUUCUAACCACAUUGUUGGACUUCAAUUCAAAAAUUUAGUUACAUGACCCACUUCAUUGACAAUGAAUGGAACUAUCGUAAAAAGAUUAUCAGUUUUAGUUUAGUUCCUAAUCACAAGGGUGACACCAUUGGUAAAAGAAUGGAAGAUGUUUGGAAGGAAUGGGGGCUUAGGAAAGUAUCAACAAUUACCCUUGACAACACAAUAUGUAAUGAUGUGGCUGUUUCUUACUUGGGUAAAAGACUUAAGAGCAAGAAUGCUUUAAUUGGUGUAGAGAGAUGAGUUGUCUAUUGAAAGUGUUCGCAAUGUUGUUAGGUUUGUGAGGUCCUCACCACAAAGAGCUUAAAAGUUUAAGGAGUGUAUAGAAAUUGUAGGAAUAACAUGUAAAAGAAAACUUGGCCUUGAUGUUUCCACACGGUGGAAUUCCACCUACAUGAUGUUGGACGCCGCUGAGAAGUUCCAAGCAGCAUUUGAAUGGCUUUUAUGAUUUUUUUGAAAACAUUCUAUGCACCAACCAAGUUGUGCAAGCCUCAAGAAGCGUCCUUGGACAUGAAUACAUAUGUGACUCCAAUGGUUUCAAAUAUGAGGACCAAAUAUGAUAAAUAUUAAAUAUGAGGACCAGACAUGAUAAAUAUUGGGGAUGUUGUAAAAGUGAAUCAUUUUCUCUAUUUUGGAGUUAUCUUUGACCAUAGGUUUAAGUUUGAUUAUGUUCAAUGAUCUUUCAAUGACAUGUAUGGGGAUGGUAGUGAACUUGCUAAGAAAAAUGUUAAGUGUGUCAAAAAAAGUUGAUUCAAACUGUACAAUUGGUAUAAAUCUAAGCAUAAUAAGAUUGUUGAGUUGCCCUCUUAGAUGCAUCAUGCGGUAGCACUUCCCUCAGAGAAACAUGUAGCCAAACUAGAAAAUCAUCACUUUUUACAAGGACUGAUGCUUUUAAAUAAUACUUGAAGGAGAAAGACACCGUUACUAAUCAAAAUGAACCAGAGAAGUAUUUAGGUGACCCAUGUUGGGGAGAUGCUGAAAGUUUUAACUUUAUAAAAUGGUGGAAGGAGGAUUCCACCUAUUAUCCCAUAUUGGCUACUUUGGUUAGGGAUGUUUUGGCAACACCUGUUUCAAGCGUAGCAUCCGAAAAUGCUUUUUUAGUACUAUGGGAGAGUUUUAGACGUGUAUUGGAGUUCUUUAAGUCCGGCAAUAGCCGAGGCGCUUAUUUGUUCUCAAAAUUGGUUGAUGCCUUCUGACGAGAACGACUUAAAUGUCCUUGAUAUGCUUGAAGAACAUGGCAUAACUGAUUCAAUAUGUUCAGUUUCAUGUAGGUGUUACCAUUGAUUGGAGCAACUGCUCCAGAGUAGGCUGUGGGCCUGUUUAAAUCUCCUUUAGCCACUUUUUGAAUUUUUUGAAGUCUUCAAUAACUCAUAAUAUUUAAACCACUAUAAUUAGUAAGUUAGUUUUGAAGCCACGACUCGUAGCAUUUUGGGCAGCCACUUCUGGUUUCAUAGUAAUUUAGUGUCAGAAGUUUGUUUUGGGUAAGGAAUCAAUGUUACAAUUGCUUCACAUGUGAUUCUGUUUUUAUCAUAACACAUAUUUAUUUGUAAUUAUGUUUCUGGUUUCUGUUAAAGCAGCUACUGGAUGGCAAAGUAAGAUUUGGUAGAAUUUGGUAGAACUUAGUUUCUGGUUUCUGUCAAAACAGGUACUGGAUGGCAAAGCAAGAUUUGUAAUAUCACCCUUUUAGUCUUUCAUAAUUUUAGUUAACUAAAUCAAGACUAUUUAUUAGUUUUUAUAUGAUUUGGAUGCUGGAUUAAGGAAGAUUCUGUCACAAAGCAAGAUUCUGUCAAAGCCGCAUAAGGUUGUGGUUGAGAUUAUUGAUGAAACAACUUGGAAUUCUCUUACUGUAACAACAACUAUGAUGCUCCAUGAUCCCAAACUUACAACAACUAUGCUGCUCCACCAACUAUACAGAACAACAGGAUCGAUUUUCAGGAGAGACGUUGUUGAAUUUGGUGCCCGAACUUGCUUGCCUUGUUUGGUUGCUGCAAAAGUUGGUGCCAAUGCCACUUCUACUGAUGACUCCAGCAGAUUAGAGUGGCUGUAAAUGGAAUCGUUGAGUAAUGCUGAGAUUACUACUGGCUAGAAAUAGAAUCACAUGAUUAUGCUUUGCAUAUUGGCUGGAAAUUGAGGACCAGAGGAAGAGACAGUACAGUAGCCGACAGGACCGUAGACAGAGCAGCAGCGACUCGUGCUAGAGAUGAGGAGGCACAGGCUUCAGAUCUUAGAGCUGGACGCUGUCCUCCGACCAGUUCUUAUCGGAAACAGUUGGUGGAGCAGGCGAUGCAGUUCCGCCCACCACGUCGUUAGAGACACACAUCUACCCAGGAGCUUGUUGUUGAGGAGCUUGUAGUUGAGUAGUUGGUGGAGGCUUAGCCUGAGGAGGUUGUUGUUACUGAGUAUGUGGAUGAGGUGUCUCCGACCGAUACAGACACCACUGCCAGGGCGUCUACUGAUCCAUCAGUGCACACUGAUGGAAGGUUUCCUGGAGGACCUAAAGACGUGUCCAUGCUCAUAAGAUAUGUUGACCAUAUCGCUCACCGAAUAUGGCAGGGAAUAUAUAUAUAUAUAUAUAUAUAUAUAUUUGUAACUAUUUAAUAAUUAAUAUUUUACUUUAUGCUACUUUACGGUAGUUUGUUUAUAAUAUUUUAAUUUUGCCUAUUACAGGAGCGAGGAGCGCUGAGGAUCGCUUCACAAGGGUCGAAGCUGAAGAACUUCCCGAGGGAUCCUAUGCCUGAGGGGGUUAGUCGUAUUGUUAGAUUCUUUCGCUUGCUGGAGUUUUCUCAGUGCUUCCUUACCAUGUUGGAUGCCUCUCUGAUGUCUGCUUUUGUUGAGAGGUGGCACCCAGAGACAUCAUCCUUUCACCUUCCAUUCGGGGAGAUGACGGUGACACUGGAUGAUGUAGAUGCUCUCCUCCACAUCCCCAUUGUUGGUACGUUCUUCACACCUCCUUACAUUAACCAAGCGACAGCGUUGCGCUUGGCUAUGGAGGACUUAGAGGUAUCUCAGGGGACGGUGUAUGAUGAGUUCUCGAAUAACCGUGGUUUACAUCUUCGGAUGUCUUGGCUCAGGGAUAGAUACCAUGAGCAUGUAGCUGCUCAGACGUAUCAGGCUACCGCUAGGGCGUACAUGCCACAUCUUAUGGCAUGUACUCUUUUUAAGGACAAGUUUGGUAACUAUAUUGAUGUGCAGUACUUGUGUGUGUUCAGCUCCUUAAACACUCCCACUUGGGCGUGGGGACUGGCAACUUUUACCAUGCUGUGGCAGGCCAUUCCCGGAGGUGUGGCUGAGUAUAGGCGGAGGCUCAACACACUGAUUGUGGACGAUGUGGUAUGGACACCGUAUGCAUCUCACCGCCCUCGUCAAAUUUAAUGUUAAUUGAUGUAGUACCAUGUUUACUCAAUAAUUUGUGUGUUCUCUGUUACUUUGGUCAAAUACUUUCAAAACUCACCCCUUCGUGUUUGUGUUUGUCGUGUUUGGCCUUGUGUUUACAAAAUCGUAGUAAAUAUAAGUUGGGAGAAUACUGUUAGAACAAGAUUUGUUCUGAUCAAUUAUCUUAGUUUUGAUGAUAACAAUAAUAUGAAUUUUGCUUAAGAUAAUAUGGUACUCUAAUCCAAUGCAAUUUCCUUUUCAGGAAAUAUAUAAAGAGUAUGCAUAAUUCAGCGCUCAGAAGCUUUGUCUCAAAGGGUUCAGCAUGCAACAUCAGAACAUGAUCUGGCAAGA